AGCAGCCGCGGUAAUUCCAGCUCCAAUAGCGUAUAUUAAAGUUGUUGCAGUUAAAAAGCUCGUAGUUGAAUUUCGGGAUCAGUACGCCGGUCGUGCCUCUGGUAUGUACUGGUGUUACUGGUUCCUACCUUCUGACGAAUCGUCAUGUCAUUAAUUUGGUGUGGCGGGGAAUCAGGACUGUUACUUUGAAAAAAUUAGAGUGUUUAAAGCAGGCUCGCGCUUGAAUACAUUAGCAUGGAAUAAUGAAAUAGGACGUUCGAUCCUAUUUUGUUGGUUUCUAGGAUUGACGUAAUGAUUAAUAGGGAUAGUUGGGGGCAUUAGUAUUCAAUUGUCAGAGGUGAAAUUCUUGGAUUUAUUGAAGACUAACUACUGCGAAAGCAUUUGCCAAGGAUGUUUUCAUUAAUCAAGAACGAAAGUUAGGGGAUCGAAGACGAUCAGAUACCGUCGUAG
rnacentral:rRNA from 1 species